UGGGCUCUGGGAGCCGCCAGGGAAGCAGGCUGCACCAGGUUUAUAAACAGAGCCAGCAGCAGCCCCAUUUGAAGGCGGAAAAGCUGGGAAUCCAAUUAGAUGGGGAAGUAGCUGGGGGAUCCUAGAGCUGCCUAAGAUGGGGCUGGGGGCGCCUCAAGGACCCAGAGUCCCCGCCCCCGGCACCAGGGCAGAGGUGGCAGCUCAAGGGGACGCGGGACACCGGGCGUGGAUCCAAGCCCCUGCUCUCUAGAGCGUGAUCCUCCAUGAGCUGCUCUGUGGCCCGGGGGCCGGGGGGCGGGGUGAGGGUCCCGGGGCCUGCUGGGGAAGAAGGGAGGUUUGGGAAGGCAGCUGUGGGGAGGGGCGUGUGCAGGAAUGCGGGCCGGCCCGCCUCUUUCCCGAGGAGGGACAGAGGCAGAUGGCAGCUGGGGGCUGAGAACACAGGCGAGGCUCUGAUGGACGACCCCCUCCUUGGGAUCUGGGGGGACACAGCCUCCUCAGGUUCCCAGGCCCCCGCCCUUUGCCAGCUGUGUGCAGCUGGGGCCCUGCCCUGAGGAACCCAACACCAGUGGGGGUGGGGGACCGGGGCUGCACAUGGGCUUCCCGGCCAGGGCCGCGGGCCAUUUGUGACCGACCGUGUCUGUCGGCAGGAACACGGGUGCCCUGUGGGCCGAACCCAGGCCCAGGCAGGGCUGAGGCUGGGGUCCCUGGGGGGCGCCAAGGCCCUGAGCCUCAGUUUCCCCAGGAUGGUACCUCCAGCUCCUUUCUCCGGAGGGAGACACAUCACCUCCCUGCAAAGCCAGGGCUCAGCCCGCGACCCCCUCCCCACGCCAGGAUGAGGGUCUGAGGCUCAGGGACACGUCCAGUGCCCGGCAAGUGGGCUCUGCUUCCAGAGGCCAGUGCAGAGCGGCCUUCUCCUGAGCCCUCAGGCCCCGCCACCUGCCAGGCACCCUUGCCCACCACUGAGACCCCUCCUGGGAGCCAGCCCUGUGGUGACCCCCGUUCUGCCCGGAGCCCGGGAGAGGGGGCCGGCCGGGUGGGGAGGGGGCCGCCAGAUGGCUGUAAUCCCACGUCAGCAGGGGCUUAGACACCUGCCCAGUCUCCCCCGCCCCCCGCAGGCCUGCCCAGCAUUUCUGCACAUCUCCCCUUGCAGGGGCUUUCCCCGCUGGGGUGGGCAGAGGGGCUCUAUCCCCACCCACACCCCCACCCCCAGAUUUCCUCCUUCCUGAGCUCAUGUCUCAGUGCUAGGGAGGGCUGGGCGCUCUGACAGGUCACCUGAGCGCUCGGGGACAGCUCACUUCUGAGCUGGGGGCAGGGUGGGAUGGGGGCGGGCCCAGGGGUGGGGGUCAGACUGCCCCGGCCCAUGCCUGUGUCCGCAGCCAUGUCCCGGGUCCCCUCCAGCCCUGAAGUCCGAGACUGAGUGGGCUCAGGCCCACUGUGCCCCACGCUGAGCCCCGAGCCCCGUGCAGGCCGGCGUCAUGGACCACGUGGCCUCCUGCCGCCGCGCCGCCCCGUGGGCUUUCCCACAGGGCCCACUCUGACCCCAUCACCCAGGGUGUCCGGCCAGGGAACGCUGGGCCCUUCCCAGCCAGGGCGCCCCUGCCGGCAUGGUGCACUGGCACUCAGCUUCUGGGGGCAUGCGGGUCAGGAAGGUGGGACUCAGGCUCGUCCUGGCCGGCACCUGCCCCCCACCCCGCCCCGCUGAGGGCCCCCUGCUCCCUGGCUGCCUCCUUUCAGGGUCCGGCAGGCCUUUUCAGGGCUGGCUGAUGGCAGGCCUGCAUUUCCAUGUCAAUGGGCCGGGCCGGCGCCUGGUAAGCUGGUUAACAAGCCCCCAGCCCCAUGGGGGAGGCUGUGUGGGGUGUUAACACAACCCCAUUCUCUGGGGCUCUCUGGCCUUGCGGUUGCUAUGGCGCCCUGCAUGGCCUCUUGGGCCACGGCUAAUCCUUUCCCUGGGCCUUUCAUCCUGCUGUCCCACCCCCAGGCUGGUCGCUGGUGACUCGGGGGUGCCCAACAAGCCUGGUUUCUCUGCCGGGGUCAGAGGAGGCCGUAAAUCCAGCCCCCUGGCCCCCAGCCCUUUGUCACUGGCAUUGUCCCUGAGUCCCCAGCCCUCCUCCUCUGGGAACCUCAGCGGCGGGAAGGGCGCCUUGGCCCAGUGGUCAGCUCCUGCCCUGGGAGUGGAGGGUCUCCAGGCCCACCGCGGGCCCUGUCCUCUGCUCGUCCACCCCCUCACCCAUGUGCUCAUGGCUGUUCCUUCUCCCGCAUUCCCGCACCGCGAGCCUGGCCUCCCCGCUGCUAGUGGGAUGUGCCAGGCCUGCUCCUGCCCUCUGUUUUCGGUCUGCAGGUUUUCUCCCCAGAUGUCUGAGAUGCACCCCACCCCCCACCCGAUCUGAGUCUUCACUCGAAUGUCACCGUCCCCGUGAGGCCACAGGCCCUGCCCUCCCAGCUCCAGCACCGGUUCUGUUCUUCCUGUAGCCUCAUCCCUUCCCACACACCCUGCAGAGCUCCAUGUGGUCCUUCUUCCCAGGAUGCCAGACCCAUGAGCACAGGGCCCCAGCCCCAAGCGUGUGCCUGGCUCCUGGUACGCAGUGGACACACCGCAUGAAGGGAUGGGGCUCUCUCAUCGAGAGGUGGAUGAGGUCCCAGGUCUGGGCUGCUCUGAUGUCACACCAGAGGUCUUCACUGUCUGGUCUGUCUCCGGGGUGCAGUCUUUCUACACACCGCUUCCUGCCGCAUCCUGUCCCCAGGGAAAGAAUCCUGCAUCCGGCAUCCCCGGGAUUUGAUUAGCCUGGAUGCCAGACCCACGCUUGGCUCCCCACGGCGCCUCUCCUCCCUAGCUUCUGCUUGCAUGCCUCCAGCCAUGGGGAGCUCACCACCGGGGCGGUGCAGUUGGGAAAACGUGCUUCCAGUUCUGGGUUCCAGCUCUGAUGUGAAGGGAACUCAGCUUGAUUGGAACCUUGCCAGGGGCACCUGUCUUGGGAUACGUGGUGGCCGCUCCCUGGCUGGGGGCCGCGGAUGAGUGUUAGAAGGAUUCAGGCCUGAUAAGUCGUGAGCAUCCUCCCUUGAAACUGGCCUGUCUCUCCUCACCCUUCCAGGCACCUGCUGAUGCUCACCCUUGGCCUCCGUUGCUCUCUGAACCUCUCAGGACUCAUGCGAGGCAAGAACAGUACAUGGCUCCAUUUCACAGAUGAGAACACUGAGUCUUAAGCGGAAAGGGCUGGAGUCACCUGCAGGGAGGCAGAGCCUGACUUCCAACCUGUGCCUCUCCCUAAGUGGCAAGGGGGUGACGGCCCAGGCUUCUCACUGAGGGGCCUCGUGAGACAAGAUAGCUUUCUGCCCAGUCCUGAGUGAGAAGCAUGUGACCGAGGCUUGGACCCUCCGUCCACUCCAGCCACCCCAGGGUUCUUGGCUCCCAGGCGCCAUGGGAGUGACUAGGAGGCUGGCUACCCAGAUAGAUUGCCGCUGCCUGGCCUGGCUGGGGGCAGCCACCAAGGAGGCCUGGGACACGCUGAGGGAGAGGGGACAGGAGUGCAAAGAUGCAGGUGAGGUGCCGGCUGGCCAGGCCCCCAGGAAGGCGGCAGCAGAGAGAGAGGCUGGAGCUCAGAGGGGCUGCCCACCAAGGGCUUCAG
rnacentral:lncRNA from 1 species